GGGCCCGCACAAGCGGUGGAGCAUGUGGUUCAAUUCGACGCAACGCGAAGAACCUUACCUGGGCUCGAAAUGUAGUGGAUCGGGGUGGAAACAUCCUUUCCCGCAAGGGCUGCUAUAUAGGUGCUGCAUGGCUGUCGUCAGCUCGUGUCGUGAGAUGUUGGGUUAAGUCCCGCAACGAGCGCAACCCUUAUUGCCAGUUGCCAUCAUUUAGUUGGGCACUCUGGCGAAACUGCCCCGGAUAACGGGGAGGAAGGUGGGGAUGACGUCAAGUCCUCAUGGCCUUUAUGUCCAGGGCUACACACGUGCUACAAUGGGUGGUACAAACCGUCGCAAACCCGCGAGGGGGAGCUAAUCGGAAAAAGCCAUCCUCAGUUCGGAUUGGAGUCUGCAACUCGACUCCAUGAAGCUGGAAUCGCUAGUAAUCGCGGAUCAGCACGCCGCGGUGAAUACGUUCCCGGGCCUU
rnacentral:rRNA from 1 species